AUACGGAGGAUGCAAGCGUUAUCCGGAUUUAUUGGGUUUAAAGGGUGCGUAGGCGGAUGAUUAAGCGUGAGGUGAAAUGCCACUGCUCAACAGUGGAACUGCCUCGCGAACUGGUUGUCUUGAAUGCUCCUGCCGUGGGAGGAAUGUGUGGUGUAGCGGUGAAAUGCAUAGAGAUCACACAGAACACCGAUUGCGAAGGCAUCUCACGAAGGGGUGAUUGACGCUGAGGCACGAAAGCGUGGGGAUCAAACAGGAUUAGAUACCCUGGUAGUCCACGCAGUAAACGAUGAUAACUAACCGCUGGGUCGUAGUGAUUCAGUGGCCAAGCGUAAGCGAUAAGUUAUCCACCUGGGGAGUACGACCGCAAGGUUGAAACUCAAAGGAAUUGACGGGG
rnacentral:rRNA from 1 species